UUAAAUUACUGGUAAUACAUACUUCUCAAAUUCAUCAUCGUCUAAUUCAACACAGUCAAAAUGUUCUUUAGCUUCCUAUCAACAUACACUAUACCACAGUGAAUGACAAAGAUAUUCUCAUACAUGUGUGUUAAUUUUAGCUAUUAUGUUCAUAUGAGUAUAAUGGCAUAAAUCUCGCUUAUUCUCUUCUUGUAUCCCCUAUGUAUUGGAUUCUGCUGGUGAUGAAU
rnacentral:lncRNA from 1 species